GUCUACAGCCAUAUCACCCAGAACACGCCCAAUCUUGUCUGAUCUUGGAAGCUAAGCAGGGUUGGGUGUGGUUAGUGGUUGGAUGGGAAGACCACCUAAGAAGACCAGGUGCUGUAGGCA
ensembl:rRNA 5S_rRNA 5S ribosomal RNA